GGUGCUCCUUCUGAAGAAGCGCUUCAAGUGCUAGGAUCUCCUCAAUUGGAAGAGUCUCAGCUAUCAUAUGGUGGACCAGAUAGAGAAGCGCUGGAAGAACCACAAGUCCUGCCUCAAAAGCAACCCAAAGGUCGGCUUAACAAGAAGGGGGAAAGUGGGAAGCAAGGUCACGUUGGCCAAACUGCCCAGGAGGACCGGGAGAAUUCUCGAGGAAAGCAGCAGAGAGGCCAAGGUCGACAGGGUGGUCGAGGCGGUAAAGGUGGUCAGAAAGGCCAGAAAGGCCAGAAAGGGAGAGGUGGCCAGAGAGGUCAGAGCCAGAGCUUUUCUUCUGACCAAUGACAAGGAAAACCCCUUGGAGAUGCCCCUGGCGAUGCCCCAGAAAUUGAUGGAGAUCAAUGGGUGACUGAGGACUUUUCAACAGUGUAUACUUCUUUACCUUUCCUUUCUCUAACUUCAAAACUUCAAUAAAA